UACGUAGGGUGCACGCGUUGUCCGGAAUUAUUGGGCGUAAAGAGCUCGUAGGCGGUUUGUCGCGUCUGCUGUGAAAACUCAGGGCUUAACCCUGAGCUUGCAGUGGGUACGGGCAGACUAGAGUGCGGUAGGGGAGACUGGAAUUCCUGGUGUAGCGGUGAAAUGCGCAGAUAUCAGGAGGAACACCGGUGGCGAAGGCGGGUCUCUGGGCCGUAACUGACGCUGAGGAGCGAAAGCAUGGGGAGCGAACAGG
rnacentral:rRNA from 1 species